rnacentral:rRNA from 1 species
CGUGUAGGCGGUCAGGUAAGUGGGACGUGAAAUGCCCCGGCUCACCCGAGGAGCGGCGUCCCAUACUGCUUGGCUUGAGUACGGGAGAGGAUGUGGGAAUUCCUGGUGUAGCGGUGAAAUGCGUAGAUAUCAGGAGGAACACCGGUGGCGAAGGCGCACAUCUGGCCCGAUACUGACGCUGAGCGCGAAAGCUAGGGAGCAAACG